ACAUUCUUUGUUCACAUUUUAGGUAAUAGAUGCCUAUUUGCACAUCUUCAUUGAAAAGCACAAGGCAAGUAAGAAUAACAUGUUCCAGGUUAGCAUAUAGGGUCCAUUAUUAGUCCUGUUAGAUGGAGACCUAAGGACUCACGCGCAGAGAAAUGAGCUCUGAUAUGCAGGAUUUAAUGUUAUACUAUACUAUACUACUUUUCUGUGCACUGGAUUCUUAUGGUAUGUAGGUACCUAUACAGUUUUUUUGCUAACCUGAUUUCAGAAAGUACUGUUUUGCUUACAGAAAUUUAAAUUUAAUUUUUUUAAAGAUUGUCAACAUCCCCAAGAAGGCCCUCAUCCUUAUUGAUCCCUUUGGGAAAGAGGACUAUUAUUCAAGAAAAGUUCUCCACAACUAGAGGAACUACCUUAAAAGGAUGGAGAGAAGGGGCUGAGGCAUGGCAGGUGGAGACACCACAAUAAACAGCAGGAUGCCAGUAGCUGCAGAGUUUUGGUUAUGAAGUUUGCAGAAAACUUCAUCACUGAGGAAUCCACAGAGGUCGUCACCACAGCGGAGGCUUUGCAUGAAUACAGGAAGCAGAUUGCCUGUAGCUGCUACAAAAUCCGGGCGAUGCAAAAGAUUACUGCAUAGUGUGCGCCCUGCUGGAGUGCGAUCGACAGCACAGCAUGAUUGGAAUGGUGCAGUGUGGGACAUGUCAUCGGUGGGCCCAUUUGGAAUGCGCCAAAUGGCCAAUAAGAUAACAAAAAUCGCCUUUACAGAUGAGGAGGUGGCGUCUGUCAAGGCCACAUUUAAAUGUGUUAUCUGCAGAGAUCCAAUGAAGGAGCCUGUAGUGGGCGCAUGCUGCCGCAGCCUCAUUGGUUGCAGAACAUGUGUGGAUGAGUGGGUGAUUCAUGAGCCCAGUUGCCCCAAAUGCAGGGAUGGGGAAUUUCGGGUGAAAAGCUUCAUCCUGACCGGCAUUGAAGACACUCUGAAUAUUUUCAAAGACACUAUUAGGGGAUAAAUAGUUUUUUCUUAAAUUUUUUUGGUUCAUAAUAGUUCAUGUUUUAUUU